UCGGGAAUUUUGGGCAAUGGGGGAAACCCUGACCCAGCAACGCCGCGUGAAGGAUGAAGUAUUUCGGUAUGUAAACUUCGAAAGAAUAGGAAGAAUAAAUGACGGUACUAUUUAUAAGGUCCGGCUAACUACGUGCCAGCAGCCGCGGUAAUACGUAGGGACCAAGCGUUGUUCGGAUUUACUGGGCGUAAAGGGCGCGUAGGCGGCAAUUCAAGUCAUCUGUGAAAUCUCCGGGCUCAACUCGGAACGGUCAGAUGAUACUGCUUUGCUAGAGUGCAGAAGGGGCAAUCGGAAUUCUUGGUGUAGCGGUGAAAUGCGUAGAUAUCAAGAGGAACACCUGAGGUGAAGACGGGUUGCUGGGCUGACACUGACGCUGAGGCGCGAAAGCCAGGGGAGCAAACGGGAUUAGAUACCCAAGUAGUCCCUGAGCGGGCUGGCAAGGCGCAU
rnacentral:rRNA from 1 species